rnacentral:snRNA from 1 species
GGGCUCACUCCGACAGUACAGAUAAUAAAAUUGGAACAGUACAGAGAAGGUUAGCAUGGCUCCUGCACAAGGAUGACAUGCAAAUUCAUGAAGCGUUCCAUAUAUUU